rnacentral:rRNA from 1 species
CCAAUAGCGUAUAUUAAAGUUGUUGCAGUUAAAAAGCUCGUAGUUGAAUUUUAGGCCUGGCCGGGCGGUCCGUCUUUGGCGAGUACUGUCCUGUGUCGGGUCCACCUUCUGGUGAACCAGUAUGUCCUUUAUUGGGUGUGCCGGGGAGCCAGGACCAUUACCUUGAAAAAAUUAGAGUGUUUAAAGCGGGCAUUUGCUUGAAUAGAUUAGCAUGGAAUAAUAGAAUAGGACGUUGUGGUUCUAUUUUGUUGGUUUCUAGGACCACCGUAAUGAUUAAUAGGGAUAGUUGGGAGCAUUAGUAUUCAAUUGUCAGAGGUGAAAUUCUUGGAUUUAUUGAAGACUAACUAUUGCGAAAGCAUUUGCCAAGGAUGUUUUCAUUAAUCAAGAACGAAAGUUAGGGGAUCGAAGACGAUCAGAUACCGUCGUAGUCUUAACCAUAAACUAUGCCGACUAGGAAUCGGGCGACGUUAUUUUCAUGACUCGCUCGGCGCCUUAUG